UGCAUAUUCAAAAUGAAUAUGUUCCUUAUGUUGCAAUUAUCAAUUUUGGUCCAAAUGCAUAUUCAAAGUUGGCUUCUUUUUAUAUCUGUAAUAUUUCUCAGAAUCAGUCAAUUUUGGGUUUUUAUGAUUCCUUACUCUGAUGUGGAUAAUUGUUUUUUUGUGAGUAAGUGCUUCGUUUCUUUAAUUACUUUUUUGGGGAAAAAAGGCAUAGAAAGUAAGGUCAUGUUAGAUCUCUGUACUUCUGUUGUAGAAUUAUUACUUAAGGUGUGUUGUGGAUCUGUUUGCAACAGAGUUUUGCAAUUUUGAUUUUGAUUAAAAGUAGUUUUUUAGUAACUAAUUUAUGUUUGGAUGCUUUAUUAUUAGAAAUAUUACUCAGGGUGUGUUUUGAAUCUGUUUGCAACACUGAGUUUUCAGAUUUGAUUUUGAUUAAAAGUGGUUUUCUAGUUACUAAUUUAUGUUUGAAUGCUUUAUUUUGAACAAUAGUUUUUUGCAGAAUGAAUACUACUGUUUAGAUAGUGUUAAUCAAACUGAAAUUGAGUUGUCAAAGUGUAUAGUUAGUUAAUUACUUAAUUGGUUGUAGGAAGCUGAUAAAGGUUGGGGCAACAAUCAAUUUUGUGGUUAAGAUGCCAGCUUCAUCGUAUGU
rnacentral:lncRNA from 1 species